AGAGAGGUUAUUAAUGGACCAUGAGCUGUAGUGUUUGAAAGUGUGUGUGUGAUUGUGAAUGAUCUAUGAUGUGUGUGAGGGAGGGAUGGAGCACCAGCGCUGUGUAUCAGAGGAUUGAUUCACUCGCAGCUUCAUACAGGAGGAAGGCUCGUCAAGAGUGUGUGUGAUCACUCGUAACAGUCAUGGAUCAGAAGUCCACUUCUCCUCAGAGGCAGGCAGUGAAGAGCAGGUCAAAGUCUACAGAUGAAGUCCAGCAGGCUAAAAAGGCCUUCCACAUUACCCAGAAGUCUCUGCCUGGAGGAUCAGAGCUGGAGAAGGUGAAGGAGGGAGCAGAAGAAAAUGUGACCCCGGCAUCAUCUACAGAAGAGCUGAAGUGAUGCUGCUGUUCAUCUGUGUUUCUCACACACACAUGCACACACACCUGGUUUUUCUAAGCAAGGUUGGUUUAGUAGUUUUUUGUUGGUUUCUUGUGCAUCUCUGAAGCUGACGUGAUCUUUGUGUAUUUGAUUCCAGAACUGUGGCUGUACAUUUUGCGUCUCCAAGAUAAAUCUCGAAUUUUUUAAUAACAAAAGUGUUUAAUGAAACCGUUUCGAAUGAGCACACGAGAGAGAUCACGUCAUCUCUAGAAAAUGAUGUUUCUAUGUGUAUUUAGAGACAUUUUGUCUUGUAAAGAUGAACUUAAAGACUCCCUCUAUACCUAUUUUUGACUGUCUCCAUCUUACAUUCAGCUUUAAUUAUCAUCAAA